CGCUCCCCGGCCGUUCCCCGGUGUGUCGUCACGGCGCGCCGCUGGGUGAGUGCCGGGGCCUGGCGCGCAGCUGAGGGCGGCGGCGGGGCGCGAAGCAGCCCAGCGCCGGCCAUGGCGCCGCCGCCGCCGCCGCAGAAGGAGAUCGUCUACAACAAGCUGCUGCCCUACGGGGAGCGCCUGGAGGCCGAGGCCGCCCGCUUCCUCGCGCAGAUCAAAGACAACCUGGCCCGGGCCGUGCAGCUCCAGGAGCUGUGGCCCGGCGGGCUCUUCUGGACCAGGAAGCUCUCGACAUACAUCCGAUUAUAUGGGAGAAAAUUUAGCAGAGAAGAUCAUGUGCUUUUUAUCAAAUUGUUGUAUGAGCUGGUAACAAUUCCAAAACUGGAGAUCAGCAUGAUGCAAGGAUUUGCACGCCUGUUGAUAAACCUGUUAAAGAAAAAAGAACUGCUUUCCAGGGAUGAUUUAGAGUUACCAUGGAGACCGCUUUAUGAAAUGCUGGAAAGGAUAUUAUACUCCAAAACAGAACAUCUUGGAUUAAAUUGGUUUCCCAAUUCUGUAGAAAGUGUUCUGAAAACACUUGUGAAGAGCUGCAGACCAUAUUUUCCAGAAGAUGCCACUGCGGAGAUGCUAGAUGAAUGGAGGCCUUUAAUGUGUCCAUUUGAUGUUACCAUGCAAAAGGCUAUUACCUACUUUGAACUAUUUCUACCUACUACCCUUCCUCCUGAACUUCACCAGAAAGGUUUCAAGCUUUGGUUUGAUGAAUUUAUAGGCCUUUGGGUGUCAGUUCAAAAUCUUCCCCAGUGGGAAGGGCAUCUAGUAAAUCUGUUUGCUCGCUUGGCCACUGACAACAUCGGGUACAUAGACUGGGAUCCAUAUGUACCAAAGAUUUUUACCAGAAUUUUGAGGAGUUUAAACCUUCCGGUGGGAAGCAAUCAAGUGGUUGUUCCAAGAUUCUUAACAAAUGCUUAUGAUGUAGGACAUGCAGUAAUGUGGAUCACAGCCAUGAUGGGUGGACCAAGUAAACUAGUGCAGAAGCACUUGUCUGGAUUGUUCAAUAGCAUUGCCUCUUUUUACCAUCCUUCAAAUAAUGGGCGGUGGCUGAACAAACUGAUGAAACUACUUCAAAGGUUACCCAGUGGUGUUGUCAGAAGACUGCAUCGUGAGCGCUACAAGAAAAUGAAUUGGUUAACUCCUGUGCCUGAUAGUCAUAAACUUACUGAUCAGGAUGUUACAGACUUUGUAGAAUGCAUUAUUCAACCUGUUCUUCUGGCUAUGUUCAGUAAAACUGGAAGCCUGGAGGCUGCCCAAGCCCUGCAGAACCUUGCACUGAUGCGUCCUGAAUUAGUAAUUCCACCUGUACUUGAGAAAACAUAUCCUGCACUUGAGACAUUGACAGAACCUCAUCAGCUCACAGCUACUUUAAGCUGUGUAAUUGGAGUAGCUCGUAGUCUGGUGUCUGGUGGGAAGUGGUUUCCUGAAGGUCCAACACACAUGUUACCUCUACUGAUGAGAGCAUUGCCUGGGGUGGAUCCAAAUGACUUCAGCAAAUGUAUGAUUACAUUCCAGUUCAUUGCAACAUUUUCUACUUUGGUGCCUUUAGUAGAUUGUUCAUCUGUAUUGCAAGAAAGAGAUGAUCUUUCAGAGGUGGAAAGAGAAUUGUGCUCUGCAACUGCUGAGUUUGAGGAUUUUGUACUGCAGUUUAUGGAUAGAUGUUUUGGACUUAUAGAGAGCAGCACACUAGAACAAACCAGAGAGGAGACUGAAACUGAGAAAAUGACUCAUCUAGAGAGUCUAGUGGAAUUAGGUCUCUCUUCUACUUUCAGUACAAUCCUUACCCAGUGUUCAAAGGAUAUCUUUAAGGUUGCCUUGGAGAAGGUUUUUAACUUUGCUGUUUCAAAUAUAUUUGAGACGAGAGUUGCUGGUCGAAUGGUUGCCGAUAUGUGCCGAGCUGCAGUAAAAUGCCGCCCUGAGGAAUCCUUGAAGCUGUUUGUACCACAUUGCUGCAAUGUUAUAACUCACCUCACAGUCAAUGAUGAUGUAAUACAUGAUGAAGAACUAGAUAAGGAGCUACUUUGGAAUCUUCAGCUUUUGUCAGAGAUCACUCGAGUGGAUGGAAAGAAGUUGCUACCGUACAGGGAGCAGCUUGGGAAGAUACUGCAGCGAACCCUACAUUUAACCUGUAAGCAGGGUUACAUUCUGUCUUGUAACCUACUGCACCAUCUUCUUCGUUCUGCUACACUUAUCUACCCCACAGAGUACUGCAGUGUGCCAGGUGGCUUUGACAAGCCUCUUUCUGAAUACUUUCCUAUCAAGGACUGGGGUAAACCAGGUGACCUGUGGAACUUGGACAUCCAGUGGCAUGUUCCUUCAUCUGAGGAAAUAAACUUUGCUUUUUAUUUGCUGGAUACUUUUCUUCAGCCUGAGCUCACCAAACUAGAGCACUAUGCAACUGGAAAACUAGAAAUGUCCAGGGUCGCAAGUCUGGUGUCUUUGGAAGAGACAAAACUGUACAGUGGUGUUGAAUAUGAUUUAUCAAGAGAGAAUUAUCGAGAAACAAUUGCAAGGGUUACAAGGAAAUUGCUGCGCUAUAUACUUGAUAAUUCAGAAGAUGAUACCAAGUCUUUAUUUCUAAUAAUAAAGAUUAUUAGUGAUGUUUUACAGUUCCAAGGAUCUCACAAGCAUGAGUUUGAUUCACGAUGGAAAAGCUUUAAUCUAGUGAAAAAGUCAAUGGAGAACAGGCUUCAAGGAAAGAAACAGCAUAUCAGAGCUUUGCUGAUAGACAGAGUUAUGUUGCAGCAUGAGCUGAGAACACUAACGAUGGAAGGCUGUGAAUAUAAAACUUCCCACCAGGAGAUGAUCAGAGAUCUUUUGUGUUUGUCCACAAGUUCAUAUGGUCAGGUCAGAAGUAAAGCUCAGCAAGCAUUUUUCACAGCUUUGGGAACGUACAAUUUUUGUUGCAGAGAUAUCAUUCCCUUGGUUUUGGAGUUCUUGCGUCCAGACCGGCAAGAUGUCACUCAGAAGCAAUUUAAAGGUGCCUUAUAUUGUCUACUUGGAAAUCACAGUGGAGUAUGUUUGGCAAAUCUUCAUGAUUGGGAUUGUAUUGCACAGACAUGGCCAGCAAUUGUUUCUUCUGGUCUUAGCAAAGCUAUGUCCUUGGAAAAACCAUCCAUAGUUAGACUCUUUGAUGACCUAGCAGAAAAAAUCCAUAGGCAGUAUGAAACAAUUGGAUUGGAUUUUGCAGUUCCGGAGAAAUGCAUUGAGAUAGCUGUUAUGCUGCAAAAAUCAGAACAUCCAGGUUCAAACUUCACAGGUCUUCGUUCAGAAGAAAUUCAGUUAGGAAUUCAGCGACAGAAAGAAAAGAAUGCUGAGGCUCUGCGAAACUAUGAAAAUUUGGUCAACAUGCUGCUGGACUGUGUGGAACAAAGAAAUCUUCCCUGGAAGUUCGAGCACAUAAGUAUUGGUUUUCUGUCUCUGCUCCUGAGGGAUGAUAGGAUACUGCCUGUCCGUGCCAUAAAAUUUUUUGUGCAGUGUCUCAACCAUGAUGCAAUUGUAGUUCGUAAGGUGGCCAUCUCAGCUGUGGCUGGUAUUCUUAAGCAGCUUAAGAGAACACACAAGAAAGUGCCCAUCUGCCCUUAUGAAAUAAGUGGAAACCCUAAGCCUUCCAGCAUUCAGGCUGGGGACAGACUGGAUAACCAGUGGCUGCACUAUGACAGUCAGAGUUUACCAAAGACUAAGGAAGCUUGGGAGUCAUGUUGUUUUGUGGAGAAAACACACUGGGGAUAUUAUACCUGGCCUCAAACUAUGACAGUUUAUGCUCCAGUUGAGCAUCAACCAAAGCUUGGGCGAAGGAGAGAUGAGCUGACAGAGGCAGAACAAAUUAUAUAUGAUCACUUUUCUGAUCCCAAGUUUGUUGAGCAGUUAAUAAAAUUUUUGUCUUUAGAAGACAGAAAAGGAAAAGACAAAUUUAAUCCUCGCAGAUUUUGCCUCUUUAAGGGCCUUUUCAGAAACUUUGAUGAUGCCUUCUUGCCAGUUCUUCAGCCCCAUUUAGAACAACUUGUGGCAGACUCCCAUGAAAGCACCCAGAGAUGUGUAGCUGAAAUUAUAGCUGGCUUAAUAAGAGGUUCUAAACACUGGACAUUUGAGAAGGUGGAAAAACUUUGGAAGCUUCUCUGUCCAUUGCUUCGAACAGCUUUAUCCAACAUUACAGUGGAAACGUAUAAUGAUUGGGGCACAUGCAUAGCAACCUCCUGUGAGAGCAGAGAUCCUAGGAAACUGCACUGGUUAUUUGAAUUGCUGUUGGAAUCUCCAUUGAGUGGUGAAGGAGGAUCAUUUGUAGAUGCAUGCCGACUUUAUGUACUGCAAGGUGGCCUUGCACAGCAAGAAUGGAGAGUACCAGAGCUGUUGCACAGACUGCUGAAGUACUUGGAACCUAAACUCACACAGGUUUACAAAAAUGUCCGAGAGAGAAUAGGAAGUGUUCUGACCUACAUAUUCAUGAUAGAUGUUUCCUUGCCAAAUACUGCUGCGACUAAAUCUCCUCGUGUCCAUGAAUUUACUACCCGGAUACUUGAAAAUCUUAAACCCCUCAUGGAAGUAGAUGAAGAAAUUCAGAAUCAUAUUAUGGAAGAGAAUGGAGUUGGUGAACAAGAUGAGCGAACUCAGGGCAUUAAACUCUUGAAAACUAUUCUGAAGUGGCUGAUGGCAAGUGCAGGGCGGUCCUUCUCUACAGCUGUCACAGAGCAACUCCAGCUUUUACCCUUAUUUUUCAAGAUUGCACCGGUAGAAAAUGACAAUAGCUAUGAUGAGCUCAAAAGAGAUGCUAAGAUGUGUUUGUCGUUAAUGUCUCAGGGUUUGCUGUAUCCUCAGCAAGUGCCUUUGGUACUUCAGGUGCUAAAACAAACAGCAAGAAGCAAUUCCUGGCAUGCUAGGUAUACCAUAUUAACCUACCUCCAGACCAUGGUGUUCUACAAUCUCUUUAUCUUUCUCAACAAUGAAGAAGCAGUCAAUGACAUUAGAUGGCUGGUUAUAAAACUCCUGGAAGAUGAACAGCUCGAGGCAAGUAAUACCUUUCUUUUUCUGAAAUGCUUUGUUUCACAUGACUGGUUUCUUGUCCUUGUCAAGUUUUAUGAAAAAGCUACCGGUUGUAAAUUAAUACAGCACGUAUUUCUAGCUUAGCAUUCUUCCUAUUUUGAAAAUAUAAUCAGCUUUAUAGGUUUUAUUUCUUUCAUAUUCCAUUUUUUUUCUUCUAAUAUUCCAUUCCAGGAAAACAGCUGUUUUAAAAAUCACUAAUGAAGUAUCUUCUAAAGUUCCAUUGUUCCUACUUUUUCAACAGAAUGGAACAUUGCUUUGUUUCAUUCUUGGUUUAAGUACAGCUGAAAUAGGGAUAUUAUUUUACUAUAAAUAUUAGCAUGGAUGCUGAUAGCAAAUUCAACUUCCAACAAGGUAAAAUGCAUUCCUGUGUGAAAACUAUAUAAAACCACUAUUUAUUACUCUAUAGGUCUGAUUCCCAUUUAAUUAUAUCAGCUUAUUAAUGACAAAAAUAAGGUUUUUUUAAUACAUCCAGCUCACUAAGGAAGUAUUUCUUUAGUUAUAAGUAGAUUUUCCUAAGUUUUGUGAAAGAUGCAUGCAUAAUAGGACAGAAUUUGUCUAGCAGAUGCUGUUUUUACUGAUGGUGUUAUAUAUUUCAAAAAGAUAAUAGUUUGUAAGCUUACUUGUCAGUCUGACAAGUUUUUGUGCAUCUCUUGAGCCAGUGAUACUUCAGUAUAUGGCAGGAGAUAAAAUCCAAAAUCUUGGCUGCGGUACAUGUGUACUGUUGAAGAUCUGUGUAUGAAUGCACAGUUUGCUCUUAGAAGUGCUAUUGGGAUCAUAAGCUUGUUCUCAGGGGAAAAAAAAAAAAAGGUGCCUGAUGUGAAUCAUUGAGUCUUGUUUGUCAGGCUUCCAAAAGCUGGGGAAAAAUCACAGUAGUACUUUAUUCUGUAUCACUAAUUCACAAAACUGGAGGCUUGUAUUAAGUGAUAUGAAUUUAAAUAUGUUUGAUCAUGUUCAAGCACAGUGAAGCAUCUUUAGUGUUAACCUCUGGUCUGUUCCUUUUCCCCUGUGCCAGCAUUGUCACUGUUUUUUGUGCUGUUGACAAAUAUCAAUGAAAUCCUACUUUUGGGUGCUUGGAUGUUUUUUUCUUUCUAGAAGAAAGAGAAGAUUCUGAAGUGUGAUACCCUUCUGCCAAAACAAAGAUCCUGGUUUAGGUCUUCCUGAAGCUACAUUUAAAACAGUAGUUAUACCUAAGAUGUGAAGCUUGCUUUUGUGAACAGUGAAUUGGAAAUAAUUUGAAUAUAGAAAUUAAAGUUUCUGGCUUAAAAGUUUUGAUAUUACAGUUUCUAAAGAAUGGCACUUAGACUACUCACCCAACCAUGCCAAUUUCAGUCUUGAGAUGAGCUCUCUCUUGUCUUUCGUGUCACUAUUUGUUAUAGCGAACUGGAAAGCAACAGCUUGCAGCUCUAGAUGUCAGAGCACUUACCUCAUAAUCUCACAUAAUUUUGAAAAAUGCCUUUUAUUCACUUUAAUACCAUUUAUCUAGUUAUUUUAAAUGUACAAAAGUACUCCUCUGCACUACAGAGAUGCAAAUCAAAAAAGCUUAUCUAUGUUAAUAACCACUUAUGAUCAUGUUGUUACCAUGGAAGCUUUCAGUUUUCUUUGAAAAGUAGUCUUGUUCUUUCUUGAUAAUAAUUGGCAAGAUACAGUAUCUUGCAGAGCAAUCCCUAUGUAUUUUUUUUUAAUGCUGGAUUUUUAAGAUGAGAAUCCCUAGCUUUAAUUAGUAUUCGGUGUCUUUAUGCUGUAGAGCUGAGAUUUUGGUUCUUGGAUUUAAAGAUACUUUUUUUUUCUGCUUAUCUUGAUACAAAGGUGCCAGACCUAAUGAUCCAGCCCAUCUUGUUCUUUGUUUUAAUAUACAGUUUGCACUUCUAAUAGUGCUAGAAUUACCGUUCUCAAACUUCAUGGUGACUUCAUAUUUUUUCAUAAAAUCAUUGCAACAAACCUCGGCAAAUGACGAUGUCAAAUGACCACGCUGAAUGUCAAAUGGCAAUAUGACUGCAAUACAAAGUGAACAUGGGUCAUAGAACAGUCCGGCUUCUACUGAACGCAAAUUUCAUGCAUCCAACUUUAAGCACAGAUUUCUAGAAUUGAAGAAACCUGUACUUAAAUGAUAUUGUGGGAAAUUCUCCUUCUCAAAGUCAGAGUAGUCAUGGAGCUGAUGGAGUACUAUGAAUGUAACAGCUAAUGUGACCCUGCAGCUGAUAAAGGGAAAAAGUAUAACAGUCCUGAAAAAUAAUGUCUCUGUGUACAGCAGUAUAACCACCACUGAAUAUAAUGUCUAAUUUUCAUGUCAUAUAAGGCAGUUGGAGAGAGCUGCAGGAAUGAUUUGAGUUUGGGAAAGCAUGUUUUGCACUAAAUAAUUCUAUUUACUCAGUCAGAAGUAGAAGAAAAGUGAAUAUGACUGUAUUCAACCUGCAGUUAUGGUUAAAGUGAUAGCCUAGUUAACCUGAAAGCAUCUUUUUCACAGUUUUCUCAGCCAUAAUUUGAUCUAGAAAGCUAUCUGGAUAGGUGCUUCAUAUGUUUAUAUUUUUACAGAUCAGUGUACAGAAUACAUAGCACUCAUGUCUUCAUGAACAUUUUUCAUAUUACACUGCAGUAUUACAGUAAUGGGACUAUUUUCUCUUUGUAUAGGUAGUCCCUUGUAAGUACGCAGUUAGGUUUUGCUUCUGCUGUUGAGUGUUUUUGUUCUGAUAUUGUUACAGUUUUGUAGAUCUUGGUCAGUCAAUUCUGACCAAAAAAAAAAAAAAAACCAAACCACCAAACCCCAUACUUGAUUGGAAGAGUAUUCCUCUGCUACUCCUCUGUAGUUUUUAUGUUCUGUAAGUCAUCAUGUGAGUAUGAUGAUCUGUAAAUUAUUUAGUGUCAGAUGAUUAGCUUGUUAAUGUAUGAUUUUAAAAGCUUUGCUUCUAGGUGCUCCUUGCAGCAAAGUGUUCCUUUUAGUUAGAUUAUUAAUUUAGAAAUGAAAGUGGUUUUAAUACAGUGAAUAGUGAUGUAAAUGAGGACAGUUCACUUGGGAGCUUGCUCACUUUACAGCCAAGCUUCUUUCUAUUCUGGGUCUUGCAUUAGCACAUCAUGUUUCAUUUAAUAGCUUAGUUCUUAAGAGACUCACAAAUUGCUAAUAAACAAUACUGGCAGACUUUCACUUCGUACUUCUUUAUGCUAUUAACAAAAUAGAUCACGUUUGAAUAAUAUGUUGUAGAAAUUUAAAUAGAAUUAAGUGAAGUCUCAGGAGCUUAUUGUUACCUUACUACAUUUAAUUAUUGCAGCACUUGCACCUAUACUUAUUGCUUUGUGGAGGUUCAGAACAUUAUGUUCAAGGAUAUAAUUUAUUAUAAUCUGCUGCACUGGAUUCAGAGCGUUGGUAGGUGUUUGUACUCCAGAUAGACAAAUGUUCCGUUUACAGUUAUGUGUAACAGUAUGUACUUACCAAAAUCUGGUGACUGCUGUCAGCAUUUCAUCAAGUUGAUUUGGUUUUCAAGUUUGUAAAUGUUGGGAGGUUUUUGUCAGCCUGUAAUUAUUGAAAGUGGAAGCGAGUUUUGGAGGGACUCCAGUUUAAAUGUGGUCUUACAGUUCUAUAACUUUAUGGUUUUAGGAGAUUUGAGUAGAUGAGAUAAAUGAGUAAUACUGAUGGGUUAUACUUGCUUUUAAAAGCAAGUGACUGCGUUGUCUCUACUUGUAAUCCACUAACAAUGUGUUGUGGCUGUUUUAAAAGGAAUGGAAAAGGAGAUCUAUAUUUUGAGUGGUUUGGCAAGUAGGUGAAAACUCCUUGUUCUUUGGGGUUUCUGUGUUACCGAAAAGAAGAAUAUUUUUCCAAUCUGGAAUUUUGUUUUUAUUCAUGUAGUGAAAAGAACUGGUACUCGGGACAAAAAAGUAAAUAACGCUGGAGCGUUACAGAGCUGCAUUGUUGACCAUAAACCACUGAAGUUAGUUGUCAUUGCUUAUUAAUCCAGCAUCUGUUGUAUCUCUCAAAGAAUUCUUGUGCUACAGGUAGAACAGAAUCAGCUUUGUCUCAUGAACAUACCUUCCACCUUCUCUUGGAAAAGAUCUUCAGCUUUUGUCAAUUCUAAUGUCCCCGCAUUUGAGGGGGAAAACUAAAUGCUUUUGAACAUACUUUUUUUUUUUCUUGGUAAAACUGAUGUUAAUACAGAGAUUAUUACAAAUUUUGUAAUGCAGGUUGAUUAUUUGGGGUGCCACAUCUUGUUCUCAUUCAAAGUCUGUUUUUAAACUUUCUAAAGCUAAUCUAGUCUGUGAUAUAUAUGUCUUGAUGGUGGAGUUAAAUUACAGUAUUUGCUUGAGUAGUAGGUCACUUUAUGACAGAUUAUGUAAACGUAGUUCUAUAUUACAAUAGUACUAUGUUUAUUAAUUUGUGAAGAGCCAUAUAGUAAACUAGUAGUAGUUUAUGAUCUAUGAGAAAACAGGAUAAUACUCUAAAGACUUUUCUUGGGCAGUUUGGUAACUUGGCCUAGCUGGAUGUGCUUAAAAGGAUAGGAAUAGCAUAAAUAUCUCUUUCUUGCAGUGCAUGUGUGCUUAGUAAUUGUGGUAUGUACUAUCUCUGCUCGUAGGUGAGAGAAAUGGCUGCUACCACACUAAGUGGUCUGCUACAGUGCAAUUUUCUCACUAUGGAUGGGCCCAUGCAGACCCAUUUUGAACAGCUGUGCAAGAUGAGGUUACCAAAAAAACGAAAGCGAGACCUGGGUUCAGUGAUGGAUACAAUUCCUUCUGGUGACUUGGUUAAACGCCAUGCUGGUGUACUAGGACUUAGUGCAUGUAUUUUGUCAAGUCCGUAUGACGUACCCACCUGGAUGCCACAGCUCUUGAUGGAUCUCAGUGCCCAUCUUAAUGAUCCUCAGCCUAUUGAGAUGACUGUGAAAAAAACGCUGUCAAAUUUCCGGAGGACCCAUCACGACAACUGGCAGGAGCAUAAACAGCAGUUCACAGAUGACCAGCUACUAGUGCUUACUGACCUCUUGGUUUCACCAUGCUAUUAUGCAUAGAUAGGUUUUUCCUGGAGAAAUGAGGAUGUAGGAACCUUUCUGCAAAAUAAAGGAAACUCAAAGAAAUUUAUCAUGUAGAAAACUUUGUGUUGGAAGUCCUGAUGCCUAAUCAAAGCCACUUUUAAAUACAAACCUAAAGACCUGGUUCUAUUCAAAAAGCAUUUCACCUCCCCAGGGAGCAGCUGUGGGAACCCCACAGUCUCUUUCUAACUGCACUUGCAGAGCCUGAUUGUGAGUUUACUGCAAGACCCUUCUCAUUGGCCUGCGUUACACAUCAGUCUUGUUUCUGCUUUCUUGCACACGGUGACUUACACUGCACGUUUCUUAUCCUCUUUUUCUGACCCUUCUUCCCAGCUGUUUCUGACAUCAAAGAUAUGCAGAACCAGAGUGUGCUGCAACCCUGAAUAUUCUCAGUGAAGCUCUCCAAUUCUGUUGAUGCAACUUGUUACCUAGUCAGCAUACAAUACCAGGAACCUAUCUUUCUCAGAGUUUAUUUUUCACUACUUGGAUUUGAGUGCCCAUCAGGUGAUGGGCUCUGUAUCAUUCAGUCCACCUCAGGGCAGGAUUGCCUUUUUGUAUCUUCCUUGUCAAAAUGUAAAUAGCUGAUUUUCUCUGUGCAGUAUAGAUGAUGGCAGGACAAAACAUGGGGAGUGAAAGCUCUUACUGUCUGGCCAGGUCUUCAUAGAUAGCUUGACCACGUGUGGAAUAAAAAUCUAUGAUUAUCUGCAUAUUUUUAAGGGUGAAGGACUAUGGGUGUUUCCACAUCAUUAGAGCCCACAGAUAUGAAAUUAUGGACUAUCAAGUGAUGGGUGAAUUCACAGAAUGAAAUGUAUGCACAGUGUGAAAAGGCACUGAAUGGCUGACUAUUUUUAACAGCGUAUUCUCAUAAAGAUUGUCACUGUUUGAGCAAGCGUAUCUUCUUCGAAGAUUGUGGAAGCUCUAUAUUUUUUUGCCUGCAGCUUUGUUCAGAGACUGGUAUCUAUUGGCUAUUUAACAACAUGUUUAAUAUGUGUUACAUAGUUGUAAAAGACUGUAUAAAUUGUAGAGGCAUUGCGUUGACAAAACAUUGUACAGUUUGCAACCUUUUACAUAACACCAUUGUGAGAUUAAUUUGUAAAGAUUCAUACUUAGAUGUUAAUAUGGUAGUAGUUCUGGCUUUUGUAUCAAAUCAAAUGCCAUUAUUAGUUUUUUAAAUUAUUUUCUUUAACAGAAUAUCUCUUCAUGUCUGAAAAGCAGAGGUUUUGUUUUGGUUUUCUUGUAUCUCAUUAUUACUAUGUCUCAUUCAGAUUUUUAUGCAACACUUGUGGCCAUCUCUAAAUGCUGACAUCACAUAUUUUGGUGUGAUAAGCUCAUAGAAUGUGAGGUACAUAGAAAUAAUUCAUAAACUGGUGUGUGUUUCCACUUUCAUGCAACCCUACAGGAGCACUGAUACAUUUCAAGUGAUCUACCUGCUGAGUGUGUGACUCAUUCCAAACUUCAAAGCACAGCAGUGUUCCUGGUGCAGUAUUUAAUGAGUGUCAGCACACAGAUGUAACCACUGUAUAGCGUAGUGCCAAAAUUAUUAUUUCAAUUGUGUACGUAGUUUAAGACCCAAUAAAUGGACUGUUUGUAA